UGAGUAACCUGCCCUUAACUCUGGGAUAAGCCUGGGAAACUGGGUCUAAUACCGGAUAUGACUCCUCAUCGCAUGGUGGGGGGUGGAAAGCUUUUUUGUGGUUUUGGAUGGACUCGCGGCCUAUCAGCUUGUUGGUGAGGUAAUGGCUCACCAAGGCGACGACGGGUAGCCGGCCUGAGAGGGUGACCCGGCCACACUGGGACUGAGACACGGCCCAGACUCCGUACGGGGAGGCAG
rnacentral:rRNA from 1 species